ACGAACGCUGGCGGCGUGCCUCAAACAUGCAAGUCGAGCGGGGUUCUGGAAGUGGGCGACCACGGAAGGGACCUAGCGGCGGACGGGUGAGUAACGCGUGGGUAAUCUGCCCAAGGGACCGGGAUAACACCUCGAAAGGGGUGCUAAUACCGGGUGGCCCUGGUGCUCCGAGUGGGGGACCAGGGAUAGGUGGCCUCUUGACAAUGCUACUGCCCUUGGAUGAGCCCGCGUCCCAUUAGCUAGUUGGCGGGGUAAAGGCCCACCAAGGCGACGAUGGGUAGCCG
rnacentral:rRNA from 1 species